rnacentral:tRNA from 1 species
UUCAGGGUAGUAAAUAUAAUACGCAAGCCUUAGGAGUUUGAGAAAAGAGUCAUUCUUCCCUGAAA